ACCAAUCAUUAUAUAUUUAUUCACACGUUUGAUAAAAAUGUUACUGUUGAGAGUGAAAUCAUUACAAUGACAGAAGUAACUGUACACAAUCAAAACGACUGUGAGACCAGGGCAAGUACAACUGCCGAGCACCCGUGCACACACAGACAUAUCCUUGGGCACACACCCCCGCUCACCACCACAGGUCCUGGGGAAGACAGGCCACCUCGUGGCAGGUCUGCUGUGCUGUACACGGACAGGGCUCCAACACUGGGACAGCAAUUAGUCCUUGGCACAAAACUGAACAGGCAACGAGGUCAAGGAGGGGCUUAAAUUAGUCUCUGGUUUAGAUUCCUUUCUCAACACAAUAAAGUAGCAAGCAG